UACGUAGGUGGCAAGCGUUGUCCGGAUUUACUGGGUGUAAAGGGCGUGUAGGCGGUUCGGUAAGUGGAAUGUGAAAUCCCUCGGCUCACCCGAGGACCUGCAUCCCAAACUGCCGAGCUUGAGUAUGGGAGAGGAUGAGGGAAUUCCUGGUGUAGCGGUGAAAUGCGUAGAUAUUGGGAGGAACACCAGUGGCGAAGGCGGCUCACUGGACCGGAACUGACGCUGAGGCGCGAAAGCGUGGGGAGCAAACGGG
rnacentral:rRNA from 1 species